ensembl:snoRNA
GGGGUGUGGUCAGAACAAGGGGCCUGAAAAAUGGCUCCUCUGUUUAUAACAUACCCAACAGGAAUCUGGAGUCAUUGUGAUGAGGGGCACAAAACUUGUAAUCUCCCUAUGAAUUCCCAACAUGU